GCCACCGUAGCUCAGUUGGUAGAGCAGCUGAUUUGUAAUCAGCUGGUCGGGGGUUCAAAUCCUCUCGGUGGCU
rnacentral:tRNA from 1 species